GGUGAUAGGAUGUAUAUUUAAAUGUCUCGAGCGCGCGGAGUGUCUCUUGAGCAACUUUUGCCAGGUGUCUGACUGCUGGACGUUGGUUCGUCGGACCAAAGUUUCUUCAUUCAAAAAACGAGAAGGUAUGCUCCUAAUCAGGCUAUCACAGGUGAAGUAGUCUUCUUCUGCUGGUUUCCCGUCCGACGCAUAUUGAUGCCUUUCACUGUUUGGAAAAUGCAAUGCACAUUUGUUCACAAAAGGGAAAAAAGACUCUGAUCUGGUUUUGACCGUUUUGCUUGUCCACGACCAGUCUCUUGCCUACCCCUCCGGAGAGCAAUGCAGGACACAGCUCCCGUCCCGAGCGACAAGACGUGUAGCGCCUGAGGCUACCCUUCACACAACAAUUUGGUUCUGGGGUUGGAGAAGAUCACAGGUGUAUCCUAGGGAAGGUUAUGUACUGAGCUGAAACGUCUAUGUUUUUCAUAUAGUUUCUCUCGUGAACCUGGACAUGGCAGAAAUGAACAAUCUAUAAAAUAUGCAUUUGGCUAUUUCCUAUCACAGGCUUCAUACUCCAUUUUCAGUGGGCCAACCCCAUCUUUUUGACAUUGUUUAUUUUUCAUUUCAGAAAUUCAAUGUGUGAAUGUCAUAUAUUCAAUUGGCACUGUCUCAUAUUCAAUGCUGUAAUAAUUUGCUUAUCUGGUUAAAUUAAUUCAAAGUAAAUCAAUUAAAAGUACUGUAUUGACAUUC